rnacentral:rRNA from 1 species
UAAACAACCUGCCUUCAGGAUGGGGACAACAGACGGAAACGACUGCUGAUACCGAAUAAGUUCCAAGGGCCGCAUGGCCCAUGGAAGAAAAGGUGGCCUCUACCUGUAAGCUAUCGCCUGAAGAGGGGUUUGCGUCUGAUUAGCUGGUUGGAGGGGUAACGGCCCACCAAGGCGACGAUCAGUAGCCGGUCUGAGAGGAUGAACGGCCACACUGGAACUGAGACACGGUCCAG